rnacentral:tRNA from 1 species
GAAAUAGUAGUUUAAAAAAAACAAUUGAUUUCGACUCAAUAAAUUGUGGUUUAACUCCACCCUAUUUUCU